rnacentral:rRNA from 1 species
UACGUAGGGGGCGAGCGUGUCCGGAUUUACUGGGCGUAAAGCGUGUGUAGGUGGCUUCCUAAGUCGGUUGUGAAAUCCCUGGGGCUCAACCUGGGAAUUGCAGUCGAUACUGGGAAGCUCGAGUUCGGUAGAGGGUGACGGAAUUCCCGGUGUAGCGGUGAAAUGCGUAGAUAUCUGGAGGAACACCGGUGGCGAAGGCGGCAUCCUGGACCGGCAUUGACGCUGAGGGAGCGAAAAGCCCAGGGGGAGCAAACGGG